rnacentral:lncRNA from 1 species
UCAUUCCCCUUGAUGCGGACGAUGCUGGAAAAGCAUGGCGUGAGGUAAAUACCAGAAAGAUUGAUCGAGGCAUGAUGAAGCAUGUUAUCUAUUAAGAUCCAAGCUUGACUCUGAGCAAUGGCGAGUCUCCAGAUGGGGCAAAGAGCCACUCUAACCCCAGUGACCCCAUCAAUCCUUAACCAGUUCAGCCAUCAUCUGAUCAAACUCCUGAGCUCCUUUCAAGUCGG